GAUGAACGCUGGCGGCGUGCCUAAUACAUGCAAGUCGAGCGAACGGACGAGAAGCUUGCUUCUCUGAUGUUAGCGGCGGACGGGUGAGUAACACGUGGAUAACCUACCUAUAAGACUGGGAUAACUUCGGGAAACCGUAGCUAAUACCGGAUAAUAUUUUGAACCGCAUGGUUCAAAAGUGAAAGACGGUCUUGCUGUCACUUAUAGAUGGAUCCGCGCUGCAUUAGCUAGUUGGUAAGGUAACGGCUUACCAAGGCAACGAUGCAUAGCCGACCUGAGAGGGUGAUCGGCCACACUGGAACUGAGAAACGGUCCAGACUCCUACGGGAGGCAGCAGUAGGGAAUCUUCCGCAAUGGGCGAAAGCCUGACGGAGCAACGCCGCGUGAGUGAUGAAGGUCUUCGGAUCGUAAAACUCUGUUAUUAGGGAAGAACAUAUGUGUAAGUAACUGUGCACAUCUUGACGGUACCUAAUCAGAAAGCCACGGCUAACUACGUG
rnacentral:rRNA from 1 species